UCGAUUCAAGCGUCAACUGUUGCAUCGGAGAGCGCCUUUAGUCAAGCAAGACUACAAAUAGGUGAUCACAGGGCGUCGAUGCGGGACAGCUUGAAAAAAUCAGUGCUUUUUCGAGAUUGGAUCCGCGCAGAAAAAAAGAACUUUGGGCUAGCUGAAUCACAACCAUAAAUAGAUGAGUGCUAUGAAGAAACGCUAGCGGAACUUGCUCAGGAAACAUCUUCACCC
rnacentral:lncRNA from 1 species